CAAAAGUAAUGCCUUAGGAUGGGAUGGCGGCUGAUUAGGUCGUUGGUGAGGUAAAGGCUCACCAAGCCGAAGAUCAGUAGGGGCCUUGAGAGAGGGAGCCCCGAGAAGGGCACUGAGAUACUGGCCCUAGCCCUACGGGGUGCAGCAGGCGCGAAACCUUUACAAUGCAGGAAACUGUGAUAAGGGAACCCAAAGUGCUAUCACUUUGUGCUAGCUUUUUUCAAAGGUAAAUACUUUGAAGAAUAAGUGGUGGGCAAGACUGGUGCCAGCAGCCGCGGUAACACCAGCGCCACGAGUGGCAAUCAUGUUUACUUGGCCUAAAGCGUCCGUAGCCGGUUUGAUAACUCUUUUGUGAAAUUGUUGUACUCAAUAUAACACCGUGCAGAAGAAACUGUCAAACUUGGGACCGGGAGGAGUCAGAGGUAUUCAUUGGGGAGCGGUAAAAUGCUAUAAUCCUUUGAAGACCACCUGUGGCGAAGGCGUCUGACUAGAACGGAUCCGACGGUGAGGGACGAAAGCCAGGGGAGCGAACCGGAUUAGAUACCCGAGUAGUCCUGGCCGUAAACUCUGCGAGCUAGAUGUUGCAUUUUCUCCGUGAAAGUGCAGUAUCGUAGCGAAGGCGUUAAGCUCGCCGCCUGGGAAGUAUGGUCGAAGACUGAAACUUAAAGGAAUUGGCGGGGGAGCACCACAAGGGGUGCGGCGUGCGGUUUAAUCUAACUCAACACAGAGAAUCUCACCAGCAGCGACGGCAGAAUGAAGGUCAAGUUGAAGGCUUUACCUAACAAGCCGAGAGGUGGUGCAUGGCCGCCGUCAGCUCGUGCCGUAAGGUGUCCAGCUAAGUCUGGUAACGAGCGAGAUCUGUGCCCGCAAUUGCUAACAAAUUCUUCGGAAUGAUUGAGCACAUUGCGGGGACUGCCUUCGAAAGAAGGAGGAAGGUGCAGGCCACGGUAGGUCUGUAUGCCCCGAAUCUGCUGGGCUACACGCGCGCAACAAUGGUUAAGACAAUGGGCCACGACUCCGAAAGGAGAAGUUAAUCCUCGAAACUUAAUCUCAGUUCAGAUUGAGGAUUGUAACUCAUCCUCAUGACGCUGGAAUCCCUAGUAAUCAGAAGUUAUCAUCUUCUGGUGAAUAUGUCCCUGCUCCUUGCACACACCGCCCGUCAAGCCAUCCGAGCAGGGUUUAGGUGAGAGUUGGUUUUUUUGAUCAUCUCGAACCUAAGCUCAGUGAGGCGGGUUAAGUCGUCACAAGGUA
rnacentral:rRNA from 1 species